GAUGAUCGCUGGCGGCGUGCCUAAUACAUGCAAGUCGAACGCAUUGAGAGAAGUGCUUGCACUUUUCAAUUUGAGUGGCGAACGGGUGAGUAACACGUGGGCAACCUACCUGAUAGCAGGGGAUAACGAGUGGAAACAUUCGCUAAUACCGCAUAACAAUAGAGAAGGCAUCUUCUUUAUUUAAAAGGCGCUUUCAAGCGUCACUAUCAGAUGGGCCCGCGGUGAAUUAGUUAGUUGGUGGGGUGAAGGCCUACCAAGACGAUGAUGCAUAGCCGAGUUGAGAGACUGAUCGGCCACAUUGGGACUGAGACACGGCCCAAACUCCUACGGGAGGCUGCAGUAGGGAAUCUUCCACAAUGGACGAAAGUCUGAUGGAGCAACGCCGCGUGUGUGAUGAAGGCUUUCGGGUCGUAAAGCACUGUUGUAUGGGAAGAAAUGCUAGGCUAGGAAAUGAGCUUAGUUUGACGGUACCAUACCAGAAAGGGACGGCUAAAUACGUGCCAGCAGCCGCCGUAA
rnacentral:rRNA from 1 species